CGUCGCUGCCGCCUGGGGGAGCGAGGGUGUGCGGGCGGGUGGAGGCUGGGGGGCGGUCCCCGCCCCAGAUGCCCGCCCCGCUGGAACCCGCCGCCGCCGCGCUGGGCCCGCUCCAGAGAGCCCUCACCUGGGACCGCUGGCCGCCCCGCCGGAUUCCUCCGGGCGGGGCUGGAAGGCCCGCGCCCACCUCCGCCCGGCAGCAUCAAAGUGGGAAACCGAGGCUGGGACUAGGAACCUCCCGCGUGCUCCUGCUAACAAGUAGAACCAAUCUCUGCCCUGCCGGAGCUUCUGUACUGGAGGAGACAGACAUAUGACAAAUCAAUUCAUACGUGGCUGAGGCUGGGACAGAGGAGCUGAGAGAAGGCCAGCGGAGCAACGGGGUGGGGAGGCGGAGAGAGAGCAUCCGGAGGCGGAGGCGGGAGGCCACGGAACCCAGCAGUGGGCACCCUCACGUGGGUGAUGAACAUUCACCUAAGUCCGGAGCCACAGGAGCUGGAGCUGGAAGGGGCGCUGCCCUGGGGAGCUGCGGCCUUCAGCACAAUCCAGUGGAACCUGUCCUCUUGCAGCCUGCGGGGAGGGAGCUGCGGAAAUAAAUAUUACCCAGUCUCCUCCUGUCCAGCUGGGCCCCCCAGGGGCCGAACCCCAAAGGAAGCCCGAGGGCAGGGAGGCUGGGGAGGGAACAGAGCAGGCAAGGUGAGCCUCGGGGCAUGAGGCAGGGCGGACAAGGAUGCAGAGUGGAUCCGCAGGGCUACUGCGACAGUCCAGCACAGGUAGUGUCCAUGGCCUGUCCACCGUUUCUCUCCGCAUCUCCUGUGUCACCACACCCAGCCACCCCAUCUUCCUAGAAUCGACCAGCAUGCCUCCUAGAUGUAAGUUCUCCUGCAAGUCCAAGGAGACCAUGACCUCUGUGGUCAGUCCAGAUCACUUCUGUUGCCUAACGGGUCUCCGCACUGCCAUUUCUGCCUGGUCCUGUCCCUCCUCCACCUGGUGCCAGAGUCACCUCUUAAAACCUAAUUCCAGGGCUUCCCUGGUGGCUCAGUGGUUAAGAAUCCACCUGCCAAUGCAGGGGACAUGGGUUUGAUCCCUGGUCCGGGAAGAUCCCACAUGCCGCAGAGUAACUAAGCCUGUGCGCCACAACUACUGAGCCUGCGCUUCAGCGCCCGCGCUUCAGAGCCCGCGAGCCACAACUACUGAAGCCUGCGCGCCUAGAGCCCGUGCUCCACAGCAAGAGAAGCUACUGCAAUGAGAAGCCUGCGCAGCGCAACAAGGAGUAGCCCCCGCUCGCUGCAACUAGAGAAAGCCCGCGUGCAGCAACAAAGACCCAAUGCAGCCAAAAAUAAAUAAAAACAAACAAACAAACCUCCCCCCUUAAUUCCAGGGACUUCUCUGGUGGCGCAGUGGUUAAGACUCCGCACUCCCAAUGCAGGGGGCCCGGGUUCGAUCCCUGGUCAGGAAACUAGAUCCCACAUGCAUGCCGCAAGUAAGGGUUCACAUGCCACAACCAAGGAGCCCGCCUGCUGCAACUACGAGCCAGCACAACCUAAUUAAUUAAUUAAUUAAUUUUUAAAAACCUAAUUCCAACCAUGAUCCUUCUCCGCUUAAAAAACCUCCAACCAUUAAUUUAAAAACCUCCAACCAUUAAUUAAAAAAUAAAAAACAACAACAACAACAAAACAAAACCGUCCAGCAGCUUCCGUCUGCUCACCUGGGCCUGCAGAGUCCUCGGCGUGGCCUGAUCCUUCAUGUCUUGGGGUCCUGCCUCCAGAAGGCAUUUCUCUAAAACAGCCGCCCCCGGCCCUUUGGGUCACAUCCCCGCUUUGUCUCCUGCUGGUCUUCAGCACAUCCUGAAACAUUCUUCUUCGUGAGCUUGGUUACUUACGGUGCGUCUCACCGCCCUCCCAGGGAGGUACAACCUUGCCUCCAGACCCUAGUACAGGGCCUGGCACGCAGAGGGUGCUGAAGUUUGUUGACUGACUGAAUGGACUGAGACCACGGAACUCUGAAAGACGAAACAAUUAGACUUGCAUCAUCUGGUGAGUAAGAUGUGGGGAUUGAACUUAAGCCGGCCUGAUUCAAAACCUACACAGUGCUCCUGGAAGGGAGGAAUAAGAGGGGUCCCACAAAUGUCCUAAAGAGGGCUUCCCUGGUGGCGCAGUGGUUGAGAAUCUGCCUGCCAAUGCAGGGGACAGGGGUUCGAGCCCUGGUCUGGGAAGAUCCCACAUGCCGUGGAGCGACUAGGCCCGUGAGCCACAACUACUGAGCCUGCGCGUCUGGAGCCUGUGCCCCGCAACAGGAGGGGCCGCGAUAGUGAGAGGCCCGCGCACCACGAUGAAGAGUGGCCCCCGCUCGCCGCAACUAGAGAAAGCCCUCGCACAGAAACGAAGACCCAACACAGCCAAAAAUAAAUAAAUAAAAUAAAUAAAAUAAAAAAAAUAAAUGUCCUAAAGAUAGGAGGGCAAUGAGGGGCUUUGCUGGAAUGUGGCAAGGAAGAACCCUGGGACCCCAGCCCCGGGGAAUGAUCAGACUGCUUAAAUGUUAGGGAAGGGUUCCUUUGUGCAGAGGGGUUCUUGAGGCCCAGAGAUGGCAAGGGACUUGGCCUAGGUUGCAUGGCUGGUUAACGGCAGAGCCAGAACUCAAACCCAGGGCUCCCAAUGCCUCCUUAGGGGAACUGGCUGGACGAGGCAGCAGCAGCCUGCGUAAGGGAAGUUUCAUUUCAGGAGGCAGCAUAACACGGUGGUGGUUUUCUGGCAUUCGAUCUUCCUGCACCAGCUGUGUGCAUUGGGGAAAUUCUUCAUCUCCUCUAGGCCUCCUUUCCUCAUUUUUAGACAAGGAAGCAAAGGAGCUGACAUUCAUGAAGCCUUUUGUUGGAUGCUGGGCACACGCUUCUAGGCUCUAAAGAAAGAACUGGCUCCAAGGAUUGUAGGUUCUAAAGAUGAUGGAAGUUUCAGAAGCCUGGAGGGGACCAUUCUGCCCUGAAGCAUUUCUCUCCAAAGACACUUUACUGAAAGUGACUGUCACUGAGCCCCUCUGACGUGCCCCUACUGUGAUGAAGGGCACUGAGAGAUGGGAUUGGAAAACGCAAUGAACCAAUGUUCAUGCUUGAUGAGUCAGAGAGGAUCUUCAGCCCUGCCCCUCAUCUCCACCUUCUGAACCCAGGAAAAGUCCACUGAAACGUCAGGUCAAUUCACAUUGCAGUGAAAGACAAGAAGAAAAGUCGACCCCUUUUGGAGGCCUGUUGCCGUGAUGAUAAAAUAAUGCCAGUAACGAUUUUCAGAGCCUCGGCUACACAGCAUAGGCCACUCGUUGCCAUGUGAACCUGACCCACCAGAUAAGGCAGUCAAGGGGGACCUGUAACUGAGCUGUGUGUGAAUAUGCUGCCGUGGGGUGUGCUGUUACUCAGGGACAGGCCUAACUACUGCCACAUCCACUGUGCCACAGGUCCCGUGGGGGUGGCACCAAUGACCUAGAUAGACGCCUGCACACAGUGGACUGUGGUAUGGGAGAGGACGCUAAACUUAAGAACGCAAGUCUUUUCUAAUGACUGCCCUUUGCACUGGAGGGAGAUUCUGUCUCGAUCGUCCAUGGCUAUUCACUGUACCAACAUCCUUGAGAAGAGAGUCCAGGACAAAGGCAGUCAGUUGCCUCGCUUGCAAAAUGCGCAGAAACUCAAGAGAUCUCUGGAGAAUUGUCUUACAGUAAUAUCCACCCCUCAUUUCUACACUGUCUUGGCUUUGGGCGAAUUUUCCCAUGAGUUCACCACUCUGUUGGCAAAUCUGAUCGACAGAGGCUAGGACCAAAUCUGUUCAACUUGUGUCAUACAGCAUUUAAUUAAAGCUACUACCAACAGAACUACAAGCAGCAGGAUGAAGCCAGCUUGCAGUACGGACCUCAACCAUGCCUCCCAGAGGAACAAAUCCAUAAAGCAUCAUAUCUACCUUAGAAAGCCGGGUGGCUCGCUCCUUAGUUCUCUGCAUCAACCUUUCCACCUUGGCCCAGAAGGCAUUCAGGAGAGCCUCAAUUCACUGACCAAGGUUGCUAUGGAUGAUAGAUUUCUCCUGUACUUCUUCCUUGCAGACUGCAGUCUGUGCAAUCAAUAUAUCUGCUGUACCUGGAUUAAUGCUUCCAGCCAUGAGUAAGAAGGUCCUUUUUCUCUGACCCAGGAGUCUCCUGUCUUCUGCCAGCAUGCAUGAACCUGUGGCAGGCUCAUGUGUUAGUUUGCAAGUAGGCUAAAGUCAAGGAUAAAUUUCAAGUCACUCUGUUUUCUGGAGAGAGACAAGUUAAUGUGUGACUUCCACAUCAAUCAUACAGUCUCAAGGGUACUAGUGUUGCUUCUGGGAAAAAACAUGGCGCCCCCAAGUGGGACUUACAUCAGCUAGGGGGGGCCCAGGUUGACAGUGCCUCCCUUCAAGUCCGUAGGCCUUAGGGCUUCCAGCUCAAUCCAGAUAAUUAAGUCUAGUCCUUGUUUUUGGAGGGCUUGGCUAAGGGCAGUUAGUUCUGUUUGUCCAUGCCACCAGCCAGAUGCCAUUCAUCUACUCCACGGCAUGACUGAGUGGUGAUAGCUACAGGAUUGGGCCUGGGAUCUGUAUCUGGAGGUGAUGUUGUUGACAGGUAUUUUAUGUAGGAGGUACAGGAGCUGAGGCUACCCCUUGCUGCUUCCAAUCUCUUGGUAAGGUUAAGCAAAAUGGCAAUCAAAUCAAGGUCAGAACUGUCUAGUGGAGCAUGGCAGACUCAGCAGUCAGUUAAAUUUAAGUCACUUGAAAUAGUUUGGGCAAGUUGGACCAAGAUGUUGUCCUCAGUGAAGAAGGCUCCAAGUGGUUUGGAAAGACAAAGACUAUAAGUGUCUUUCUUUCCCGCAUUUCUCCCAGGGUCUGAGGUGUCCCCUCCCCAAGUGCCAACGUUGUUAUUCUCCCUCCACUGUCACAAAAUCGAUGUGUUCUAUUCUAGUAGUUAGAACUUCACCUUUUUUCCAAUCACCUCCUACUUACACUUUUCAUCUGGAAGGGUCAGGUGCAAGAAGGACAAGGACAUUUUUAUAAAACAUACAGGAGCCCACUAUGUCCCCCACUCUACGUGUAGACCGCUGAUGGGGGACUCAAAGAGAGAGGUGUGCGUGCCAAGCGCUCCAGGUAUUCUCAUGAUCUAGGACCGUGUCAGUCAAAUAAGAGAAUCCAGGUGGUUGAGACUCCCCUAGGCCCCUUUCUGACUGGGCUAUCACCCGGAGUUGCACCAAUCAGGCUGACCUGGGGUUGCUGUUAAGGGAAAGAGAGAAGCAUUAUGUCCAGGAAUGGUGAACAUGGAACCCUAAAUUUUCAAAACUGGUCUAUAUAAACCCCACCUCUCUCAUCUCGAUCAUUAUGAAGGACACGCCUAGAUGAGAUGGUCCCAUCCUGGGGACAGCCACUUUCAGUUACUGAACUGCUGUACUAAGGUGUGUGGACCAGGAGGGAGAGCCAGAAAUCUCUUUGAGUUAAUUUUUGAGGAGCUAUUUCAAUGCUCAACAGUACCACAUGCUGUGGAUGACAGUGAGGAUAGAAGGACCACCAAAUACCUAGACUAUCAGCCCAUUGUUGAGUGGCCUGAGAUGAAAGGUGCACCAUUGUUAGACUUCAGUUGGUCCAGAAAGCCGAAAUCAUUACACAGAUUAGUCUCAAGAACCACAAUGGUGUGACCAAAGUUGGCUGACUGGCCUGAAACAGUACCACUGUAACCUGAAAAAGUGUGAGACACCAUCUAUAGCCCCAGGAAGGAGUCAAAGGUCCCAUGCAUUCAAUCUCUCAGGAGUGGGCAGGGGCAAUGCCACAUACACUGUAGCCUCCUCUUCACAGGACAAACAGAUGAACAUUUGACCGGGAUAACAAAUCUGGCAUGGAGUGGUGGCCUCUGCAUCAGCAGCAUGGAGUCCUUCACUUUGUGCCCACUCUGUGUUGGUGGACGUGUUGCCAUAUCUGGUAUCAUGAUGGGUCCAGGCAGAAAUGGAGACAAUCUGGGCAUCGCAGGCUCGAACAACAGCUUGAUUCAUGUCAGUCUCAUCAGAGAAUGGGCCUUUAGCAUGGGCAUCUGCAUAAGUGAUCUAGAUAGUUUGAUCAGCCACGAUUUGUUUCCACAGUUAGCUGAGAACAUUGCCAUCCAAAGCCCUCUAUUAGGCGGCAGGGUCCUGACAUUAUCUAUCUCACAUUUGGGGACUCCUUGACUCAGCAACCACAGCAACAUUGCUUUCCAGCUGGAGCUGCAAGGUUCACACCCUUUGGCUGACCUGGGCUUGAGUUGGUCAGUCUUGCUAACGGUUUGGCAAUUUUGUUGAUCUUCUAAAGAACUAACUUGUAGGUGAGUUGAUUUGCUCUAAUCUAUUCUAGUCUUCCUUCUGCUUGCUUUGGGUUUAGUUUGCUCUUUUAUCUAGUUUCUUAAGCUGGAAGAUUAGGUUACUGAAUCGAGACUUUUUUUUUCUUUUAAAUAUAAGAAUAUACAACUAUAAAUUGCCCUCUAAGCACUGCUUUGGCUGUAUCUCACAAGUUUUGGUAUGCUGUGUUUUCAUUAAUCUCCAAGUAGUUUCUAAUUCCCCAUGUGUUUUCUUCUAUGACCCAUUAGUUAUUUAAGAGGGUGUUGUUUAAUUUCCACAUAUUUGUGAAUUUCCCAAAUUUCCUUCUUUUAUUGAUUGCUAAUUUCAUUCCACUGUGAUCUGAGAACAUACUUUGUAUAAUUUCAACCCUUUUAAGUGUAUUGAGACUUGUUUUACGGUCUAGCAUAUGGUCUGUCCUGGAGCAUGUAUAUUUGAGAAGAAUAUGACCUGCUGUUGCCGGGUGGAGCGUUCUAUAGAUGUCUGUCAGGACUUGGGCUUGACUUGCACAGCCGUGACUUUUCUUUUAAAGGAGACUACCUUGAUAGAGGGUAUUUCUGUCCCCCUGUCAUAAUAAUGUCUCAUUUUUGCCUUGUUUUAACAGAAGGGCUAGGAGACUUUUCUAGGGCAGUGGAGCUGAUCACAAGAAUUUAUCUAGAUUUCUUUGGGGCACCUGUAGCAGUACUGUAAACCUAAAGUAAGACAAUAGGAGCCCAAAGAGUAAUAAAUGCCUCAUCUAUGGUUUCCUAUGGGAGUUUGUCUCAAGGAAAUUUCCCAGAAGAGGGACAAAGCUCCCUUAUAGCAGCCAAGACCCAUUAGGGGGGAAAAACUGAGACCUUUUACUGUCAUCUCAGAAUAGAUAUAAGAUUCGCAUGAUAGCCUGUAGAAAGGGCUGAGCUGUAAGAUGACCCAGCUGUUGCCAUUCUUUCUUACCAAGCAUGACAUGCCCUGCCCCUCCUCUCCCAAGUGAGCCAGCAAAGUUCUAAUGAUUCAUCUAUUUUUUUGUCCAUAGCAGUAGUGAAUUUCCCUCCAUUCAUGUUUAAUAUGUGUGUGCAUCUCUGUAAAUGCUGCCUGAAAGGAGGUGGAAACUUCUGUACUCCCAGGAUGAGUCUUUUUUUUUUUUUUUUUUUUUUGGCUGCAUUGGGUCUUUGUUGCUGCACGUCAGGAUGAGUCAUUGGUUGUUACAAUGGGACAGACCUGGACCGUGAGGCGCUACCUUUCCACUCCCCAACCCCACCCAGAAAAGAGUAGUUGUCAUGAGGAAUAAAUGAAAGGGAGUAAAUGGGAGGAUGAGUGUAAGGAUCUUAGUUGGUGUCAGACAGGAUAAGCUGCUGAGUGGAUAUUGGCCAUUAUGAUGACAGAGAAGGGUGCAUCGAGGAAUUCGGUGGGGGGUGGGGCGUGCUGGGAGCUGAAGAUAGUAAGGACCUGGAGGGUCUGUGCAUAUAGGCUAGAGUCCAAGAGUCCCUAUAGUCAGUUUGGCAGAACUGACCUGGCGUCAGGCCCUGAGUCAGGUACACUGCUGCCCAAGAGGCUGCUGGUAGAUGGACAGAGUGACGUGGGGCACAGGGCUCUCCAAGGAAGCAGGAAGCAGGAAGGGUCAGAAAAUGUAAGUAAGUUCCAGGGAGUCUAUGUAGGAGGAAGAUGGGGCCAGGAGGAGGGUACUCUAUCUUCAGGUAAAACUGAAAGCAUGUGCUGCCAGUCAGAGAAGGAGAUUGCCGAUGAGAUUACGGGAGUCUAAGUCCUAGCUCCUUCUCCACUGCCCUGGUGUACUGCCUAGAGGCACUGCAGGCUGCACAUCUGGGGACUGCUGCCUGCUCCACCUAGCUUCUUCCAACCUACUAAGGGAGAGGAGGUGUAUGGAAAAAAAACAAAGAGAAAAAAAAAAAACCCACCAAGGCCAAUGGUCAGGGAGCACUAGUAAUUUUAACAGCAACCCACUCAAGAAGAGCAUAACGGUCACAAGCAUGUGUAAUAAACCCCUCAUCCCACCCUCCAGCAUGUAUCACUCAGUUGCGGCUGGAACCGAAACUGCGCAUGCCCAGCACAGCGAUUUCCACCCCCCACCCCACGGUCAGCUGGCUUUUCGAGGGUUCAAACUUCACCAAAACAAAAUGUCUUCUUAGGGGCUGACUUUGCAUCAGUCCCAGGCCUUUGGGUGGGGAAGAUAGGGGGUGGGCAGACUGGAACACCGAAGGUGCAGA